UACGUAGGUGGCAAGCGUUGUUCGGAAUUAUUGGGCGUAAAGGGCGCGUAGGCGGUUUGUUAAGUCGGUUGUGAAAGCCCGGGGCUCAACCCCGGAGGGUCAACCGAUACUGGCAGGCUAGAGUACAGAAGAGGUAGCUGGAAUUCCCGGUGUAGCGGUGAAAUGCGUAGAUAUUAGAAGGAACACCGGUGGCGAAGGCGGCUAUCUGGACGAGUACUGACGCUGAGGCGCGAAAGCGUGGGGAUCAAACAGG
rnacentral:rRNA from 1 species